rnacentral:rRNA from 1 species
GACGAACGCUGGCGGCGUGCCUAAUACAUGCAAGUAGAACGCUGAAGAGAGGAGCUUGCUCUUCUUGGAUGAGUUGCGAACGGGUGAGUAACGCGUAGGUAACCUGCCUUGUAGCGGGGGAUAACUAUUGGAAACGAUAGCUAAUACCGCAUAACAAUGGAUGACACAUGUCAUUUAUUUGAAAGGGGCAAUUGCUCCACUACAAGAUGGACCUGCGUUGUAUUAGCUAGUAGGUGAGGUAAUGGCUCACCUAGGCGACGAUACAUAGCCGACCUGAGAGGGUGAUCGGCCACACUGGGACUGAGACACGGCCCAGACGCCUACGGGAGGCAGCAGUAGGGAAGCUUCGGCAAUGGGGGCAACCCUGACCGAGCAACGCCGCGUGAGGGAAGAAGGGUGUCGGAUCGUAAAGCUCUGUUGUAAGUCAAGAACGGGUGUGAGAGUGGAAAGUUCACACUGUGACGGUAGCUUACCAGAAAGGGACGGCUAACUACGUG